ensembl:lncRNA
UGAGCAUUGUGGAGUUAUGAGGAGACAACGCAGUCGUGCCAGAGGUUUCGUUUUCUGUGUGAUGCUUUUAUCCAAGUUUUAUUAAUGGUUUGACUUUUAAGGACUUGGCCUCAGAUGCUGACCUCCGCAGCCCCACUAAAAGCCAGUGAAACCCUCAGGCGUGACUCAGUGCCCCGGAGAGGCUUGCAGGGCCGGCAGUAAGGCAGCUGUAAAAAAUAUCCGUGAUUUGGUCCCCCUUUCCCCAAGAAAGCCAAGCAGAUGCUAGCUUUUAAAAUUAUGUUGCUUUUAUCUUUUUUUUCUUAAGCAUUGGCAGGGCUGCAGCAGCGAGGCGGCGCGGUUUGGGUUUGUUUCCUUUUUAGGAAAAUUAUUAAUGACCACGAGGAGAAAAACUGAUUCAGUACCGAAAACUCGCUGCGCACCAGCUGUUGUUUGGAAACGGAUUCAACUAAAAAGAGCAACACAAACGGUGCGAUGGACUUACCUCACUUGAUCCAACGUAUGAGCCAAGACGCAGUGCUAAUGCUCUUCGCUGCGUUUCCAGCUGUUAUUCCACAUUGUUCUCUUUGCUGACAAUGUCCUUUCACUAAAGACAGCUAUUUUUUUUCCUGGAACAAAACUAAAACAAUCGAGAAAAUGGGCCUGAAACCCCAGAGCGACUCUGUACAUACCUUCAGAGGAGAAAUUUAACCUGGCUUGAACUUAUGCAGGCACAGAAAGUAUCCCAGGCGACCCACCUUCCCACGCUCAGGACGCCCCUCGAUCUCCAUUGUGUACCAUUCUCUGUGCUGAGGCAAGAGGCUGUGCAUGUGUCCAUUACACGUGUGCUGACUGAUCUCAUCACCCAUCUACAUUAGGUAUUUGUCCUGACCAGCCUACUGGCAAUAAGUCGGAUUCACUCUACAACCUUUUCCUCAGUGUAGGACAGUAAUUUAGAUCUCUCUCAUCUGCCCUGCCACUGACUUUCAUGAAAUUUGUUGGAAAUUAUUAGUCACUGAUAUCUUCUUACCUUGCUGUCAGAUAGCACAUGAUAGAUGGUUGGACAAAGACAGCAAGAUCACAUAAGCUGUAUUUCCCUGGGAAAUCAGACUGAAAACACAUAAGGUAUGUGUUACAGAACACACUGGCUUAACUAUUCUGGCCUGUAAAUGUGUUUAAACCAUAAAUCUUCCAUAGGAAAUAUGCAACACUUAGUGAGAACCAGAACACAAUGAACUCAAGAUGAGUUCAGGAUGGUAUAUGGAGUGCCUGUCCCUCCAGAAAGUAAUUCUACUUCUUUCCACAGACAAGUACUUUUUAAUAUUGUGUUUCCUUGAGUAAUAGCAUAUUUCAUACACCAUUAGAUAUUACAAAAUUUCCUAGAAAUAUAUAAAUGGAUCUCAGAAGCUUCUUUUUUCUGCCAUUUAUAGCCUGAAAAAUUUUUCUUCAAAAGGCUGAAAAGUCUGAGCUAAGAAUAGCAUUAUGUGAAAUCUAUUCUUCCUUCUCUUGUAUUUUUCCUGAGUAUUUGUAUAGGCAUUCUUGUUAUCAGCAGAACCUACAAAGGUAACUGAGCAUGGAGCAAUUGGUACAAUCAGACCCUAAACCCGCAGAGCUGGCAACUUCUGCUUUAAAAAACUUGAAGUGAAGGUAAAAGAAAUCUGGGUGAUUCCCUCUGUAGGCUAAUUUAAAUUAGCUCUAGGGUAACACAUUGUCAGCAUUGGACUGAAUUACUGGUUUAUCUAAUAACAUGAGAAGUAUUAAGAAUGCAGAAACAAUGAAGUCAAAGACAUGCAAGUCUGUACUAGGCUAUAUGAAAAAUAACUUUACAUUGUGAAAAUCCUAUUUGGUAGAUUAGCUUUUUCACAUUUUACUGCAAAAUGAUCGUUAAAAGUGUUAAAAGUAUAGAUAAGGAGCACAUUACAAAAUCAGCUUCUAAAGCAAUGUCAGUUAAGAACCUCGGGGACCAUGGGAUUUAAGAGGAAAGGAUUAGGAAACGCAGCCUUGAACCUCACAUAACUGAUUUAAACAGAACUUGGAUUUGAAUGGAUAAGAAAUAACUCAUCACUGUGUGUAAAUAUGGUGACCUUCCAGUUUCCUACACAGGACUAACUGGCACAGAGAACUGCUUAAAGACAAGUAAUUUACUUCAAGUAUUUCAUAUUCACUUUCAUAUUUUACAUAGUUGUAAUUUAAAAGAACUAUUGUCGUGAAAAUGAAGCUUUUUUCUCCCUGUUUUGUUUGAUUUUUGACAAGCAAUUUUUUAAAAUAAAUUUGUUUUUCUCUGCCA